rnacentral:lncRNA from 1 species
ACAGCUGCCAUCUGUCCAGGGGGCCACGAUUAGGGAUGCAUUUAACCCCACAACCAUCUGAAAGGAGCCGCUUUUUCUGCCACCAUGUUUUAAAAUUCAUCCACAUUAAACUUCAUAAAUCCCCAUGACAAAAAUCUUCUGGCGGCCAGGGAGCUUGAACAUGGCUGCGUGGAGGGUCUCAAUCACCUGCCCCUUGUUCUGCAGCUUGGUGCGGGUGGACAUUACGACUUGGCCCAUGUGGACCCUGGCCACCGCGCCCUGGCACUUUCCAGAGGCACUGCGCACACCUGUCUGGAGCCUGUCAGAUCUGAUCAGCUCCAGUGCGGACAAUGUCUUAUGGAUGCAGGUGAUGUGGAUGGGGUGGAGCUGCACGCAGAUACGAGAGCCAUCUUUGGCACAGCUUUUCACCAGGUCUUCAGACAGUGUGGAAUGGUGAGCUUGAGGAGAGUCCUGAAGGCAUUGGAUCUGAACACUGCUACCGUAAACUGCUAACCCUGGCCAGGACUCCAUGGACGAGGACCUGUUCCAGCAGGUGAUGGUCUGGACGUGAUCAGAGGUACGCCAAAGUUUGCAGAAAAUGCAGUUUCAGGAGAUGAUUGGCCAUAAUACCACUAGGUCUUGUGAAUAUGAAAAAUGAGAAAGUAUGGUGGUUGUGUCAGUCUGAUGACUCAGUACCAGCAUCUGAAAGUAGCACACUGUGUUAAGGGGAAAUUUCUGGACUCCGCCAAAGGCUGGGCAGAGGUUCACUGUCUGUUCCUGAGAAGUGCGAAGGCCGGGCGGCAAGUCAGGCUGGGGCAUGUCCAGCACACGUGGGAGCCCCACGCGGCUGCCCCUGUUCUCCCAUGGAAUCCCCUCCCUGGCUGGAUGCAUCUGGGGUGUCAUUCCUGCUGGUGUGUUCCUACCUGAAGUCUUUCUCCUCCAGAAAGCCCCUCUGGCAACAAUUCUGAACCAAGAGCUCUGGAGAGUCGGCUUGGGGGCCUGCAUUUUCAGUACCUGGGUGAGUCACUGGAGCAGGUGCUAACUCAGGGUGGAAGCCUCUGUUGGUACCACGUACAUAAUGAGCCAUAACUCCAAGCAGUUGCACGACAGACUCAGAAAGACAAAGGGGCUUGAGUUGUUUUUGUAGAAAUGGAAACAAGCUUGCCCUGAGUCAUUCAUGCCCUUGCCAAACUGCUUUUGUUAGCAAUCAUUCACGUUUCCUAGAUCAUCUUUUACUUGUGGACUUCUCUCAAGCACAUCUGCCUCCACGUGGUCUGUGUAGUGAUGCAAAUUAUGACCUGGUGCCUCCUCACUAACUCUCUGCCAGCUGGUAAAUUCAGAAAGAUGCCCUGUGGAAAUGUCACAAAUCUUAAGAAGGUUAUUAAUGAUGAUACAGAAGAGAAAACGUUAAAAAUGGCUGCUGUGUAUUAUUUAUUGAAGUACAGUUGAUUUACAAU